rnacentral:rRNA from 1 species
GAGUUUGAUCAUGGCUCAGGAUGAACGCUAGCGGCAGGCUUAACACAUGCAAGUCGAGGGGUAUAGUUCUUCGGAAUUAGAGACCGGCGCACGGGUGCGUAACGCGUAUGCAAUCUACCUUUCACAGAGGGAUAGCCCAGAGAAAUUUGGAUUAAUACCUCAUAGUAUAACGACUCUGCAUGGAGAUGUUAUUAAAGUCACAACGGUGAAAGAUGAGCAUGCGUCCCAUUAGCUAGUUGGUAAGGUAACGGCUUACCAAGGCUACGAUGGGUAGGGGUCCUGAGAGGGAGAUCCCCCACACUGGUACUGAGACACGGACCAGACUCCUACGGGAGGCAGCAGUGAGGAAUAUUGGACAAUGGGCGCAAGCCUGAUCCAGCCAUGCCGCGUGCAGGAUGACGGUCCUAUGGAUUGUAAACUGCUUUUGCACAGGAAGAAACAACGCUACGUGUAGCGUCUUGACGGUACUGUGAGAAUAAGGAUCGGCUAACUCCGUGCCAGCAGCCGCGGUAAUACGGAGGAUCCAAGCGUUAUCCGGAAUCAUUGGGUUUAAAGGGUCCGUAGGCGGUUUAGUAAGUCAGUGGUGAAAGCCCAUCGCUCAACGGUGGAACGGCCAUUGAUACUGCUAGACUUGAAUUAUUAGGAAGUAACUAGAAUAUGUAGUGU